rfam:Triticum aestivum genome assembly, contig: Triticum_aestivum_CS42_TGACv1_scaffold_592125_7BS
AAUGUACUCCUCUGUUCCAAAUUAUUUGUCUUGAAUUUGUCUAGAUACAGAUGUAUCUAGAUUCAUUUUAGUGCUAGAUACAUCCGUAUCUAAACAAAUCUAAGACAAAUAAUUCGGAACGGAGGGAGUAACAA